UGGAAAGCUUGGGAAGACCAAUGGCCCGGAGAUUUAUCGGUUUGAUCAGGAAUCCCUCACCUUGUAGCAACCCUGACACACACAAAAAAAUGGCCUGAAUAGAGUACAGGGGAGGUAGCUGAUUCAAGGAAAACAUGGCAGAGAUGGUGGUGCAACCAGAAGCAUGUCGCCACUGUGCCUGUUUUGAUAGUAAUAAAAGGAUAGUGUGGGGAUGUACAGCAGGCUCGUCUGAGGUUUGCAGGUGUAAUGAUGGAUUGGAAGGGGUUUAGGAAGGGGUGUAGUCUGAAGACGAAUAUAGGUUGAGAAUGGCUGACCUGAUCCAUUGUGCUGCAUCUGAGGUUAAAUCUAAUGAUGUCAGGGGUAAAAGGAAGUGUCAGAGAGACUAGUGUGCCGUGAAGGGUCAGAGGUGGAAGAGGUAAAGGUGAACUCAGAGCAUCUCAAAAACACAGAGGCUAACAGAAACAUAGCUUUGAGUGUUGAGUCAGUGAAAGGGGAUAUGUAUCCUGUGUAAGAGGUUUGGAUACAAAGGGUGAAGAGGUCAAUCAAGGGAAUCAGAGGCUCUGGACUGCAUGAAAGGUUUUACAACUGGACUACCCGGAAUAGUAUGAUAAAGGGGUUUUGGCACAAGGCUAUUUAAUUGGUUUGCUGCGAUGAGGUAAUGAGAUGGAGGAGCUGUGGAUUCAGAUGUGGACAGCAGCUAAAAAGUAAGGAAAUGGAAUCAGAUGAGGAUCUAAUUCUGGUGCCAAGGAUUUGAAUCUGAGUCAGCAGUAGGGUUUUGGUGACCUGGAAUGUUAGCUGCAUUUAAUAAAUUGGUUUUGAGCUGAUAUUCGAGUAAGUUGGUGUGACGAUCCCAUCUACUUGUUUCGAUGGCGGUGUCUAUUCUGUUUCAGAUGCAGGUGGGUGUGGCUAGGCGGGAUCCUCCUGGAUUGAGAACACCUGGGCCAGCUGUGUCUCAGUCUACACAAAUAGGCUGAAGGCAUUCAUCUUUGGGGGAGUUAGUUUGGCAGGCUGCUCCCUCACCACGCUCCUUUUUGAUGUUUUCUUACACAACCAACAUCGUUAUGUUCCCAAAGACGGCUGCAAUGACAACAGGAUAGAUUUUGAAAAGAGCAGACCACAGAGAAAGUGAGAGAAGUUGCUGUGGCCAAUCAGAGGCAUACCAUCUACCCUUGUACUACCUGACAAAUCAAAUGGAGGGUGCUACGUCAGGGAAGAGAUUGAUGUCUUCUGGCUGAGUGAUGUGAUUAUUAAAAAAAAGAAAUAUUGUUCUAAGAUGAAAGGAAGUGGAGCCAUAACCUUGGCCCAAUCUUGCAACCUACAUCCAGGGAGAUGUUACUGCAGUGGGAAGGCACUGCAGUAGGCAUGGACAGCAGAUGAAAGAUGAAAGACCAAACUUGAGGGAUGAUGCAAACUGCAAAAAGUAGUGACAAGAGCUGACAUUUCGCACAGUUUCGGUGCAGUUUCUAUGUUGGGAGGGAGGCUUGAAAGGUGAUGGGGUUGAGGUUGAUGCCAAGGAAUUCAAUGACUUUGCAUGGCCCUAUAGUCUUUUCUGGGAAGAGGGAGACACCAGGCUUGAGGAAAACAGCCUUUGUAGUAUAAUCUCUUCAUACAUUUAGGUUGAGAAAUAUAGAGUAAUUAUCUUUUAGUAAGGAGCUACAAAUAAUCUAGGUUGGCCUGCUCCUGCAGCCUCAUGACCCUGAGAUUGUAAGCAGGCUGUCUUGCAGGAGCCUGAACUAUCUGUCUGCUGGAACAUUUAAUCUCUGAGAGGGUCAAGACGAGCCUAAACAAACUGUCGCGGGGCAGACAUGUCAUCAUGAAGAGCCUUCUGGAGAAUUCACACACACACACAUACACACACACACACACACACACACACACACACACACACACACACACACACACACCUGAAAGCAUAAAAGGGAGUAGAAGACAAGCUAUGGAGGCUUCCCUUGGUCUUGGUUGAGACCAUAGACUGUAUAUACUGUGGACAACUUGGUUCCGCCUACCGCCUGUAUACGGAUUUGAAGCCAAAAAGCUCUCAGUAUUUCCGGAAUUUUUCUUCAUUUCCUGAAACCAGCGCUGUGCAGUUGCGUUGUGCGCAUUAGGCCGCGCAGUCGCAGGGAGUCACUGUGAUGACGCUCGUCUCAAACAGCGUAUCACCCGGGAGAGCUACUCAAUCCCUGAAUGCCCAUAGGCUGUAUCAGGUGUCAAUCAUAGCAAACAUGAACCCCCUAAUAACUUUUAAAAACGGAGCUCCACAGAAAAAAGAGGACUUGAGCACAAACCAGUCUUACAAUAACUACAUGUCAACAUCGCAAGCAGGGGGGAGAAAGAUGUAUGUUCUGUGUAAUAUAUUUGUCCACAGCUCCAUGAGCUUUGCUGGUGAAGGCGGGAUUUAUGACCUUUACUGCAGCCCAUCAACAGAGGGUGCUGUUCUCGGAGUGGCUUCACCCAGCGAGGAGGCAGACAGCAGUCUAUGGUUGAGACUCUGUCAUCUGUACUGAUUUCUACAUCUGUACAAUAAAAGACGCUCAGGCUGUUCUUCAGAUCUCAUCCUGUCUCCUGUGCAUUGUUUUACUAAGUUUAUGCUGGAUUUUCUACAACCUCAAGAGGAUUGUGAUGGAGGUAAGACUGAAGCUGUAAUUGUUAUAAAGUUAUCCAAGAUGUUAAUGACAUAAGGAAGUUUAUGGUUAUUCAGACGAAUCCAGUAGAGGGUUAGGAGUCUACCAAUUGUGUUAGGUUAUUAUGAGCAGAUUGGAGAUUAUUGCACAUAAAAAAUUGAUUGCAGGAUCAUUUUGAUGUCAAGAUGGAAACUGAAAGUAAAACCAU
rnacentral:lncRNA from 1 species